GUCACCUGUACACUAGGACCCCUGUCCUUUGCAUCUCAGGCUGGUGUUUCAGCACCGUUGCUGCUCUGUCUAUGAGAUCAUCUGGUCACAUUGUUUACAGAAGGUUUUGCCAGCCUGCAAAUACAGUGACAUAGGAGGGUCAAAGUAGUCCCCCAACCCUGGUCUCUGAACAGCUGGGAGGUGGUGAUGGAAGCAGGUGCUCAGAGCAGACACAAGCAGGAACAGUCUUUACUGUCACAUUGCAGGGCAAAGGAAGCAGCGGAAAUGUCUGAGCCUUAAUUUGAGGUCUCUGAGAAAUGUGGAAAGGAGAGGGAUCUGCACUGACAUGCAUCACCAGGGUGGAUGCAGCUCAGGAGGAACCAAACAGCUUCGGUGCACCACAGGGAAGGAUCUGGGCUUCUUGAGACCUUGUUCAAACUGAACCUUUAAGCAGGAUGAUUGCCCAUCAAUAAAGAAGAGACCAUAGAGAACCACCA